rnacentral:rRNA from 1 species
UGGGGAAUUUUGGACAAUGGGCGAAAGCCUGAUCCAGCAAUGCCGCGUGUGUGAAGAAGGCCUUCGGGUUGUAAAGCACUUUUGUCCGGAAAGAAAUCCUUGGCUCUAAUACAGUCGGGGGAUGACGGUACCGGAAGAAUAAGCACCGGCUAACUACGUGCCAGCAGCCGCGGUAAUACGUAGGGUGCAAGCGUUAAUCGGAAUUACUGGGCGUAAAGCGUGCGCAGGCGGUUUGCUAAGACCGAUGUGAAAUCCCCGGGCUCAACCUGGGAACUGCAUUGGUGACUGGCAGGCUAGAGUAUGGCAGAGGGGGGUAGAAUUCCACGUGUAGCAGUGAAAUGCGUAGAGAUGUGGAGGAAUACCGAUGGCGAAGGCAGCCCCCUGGGCCAAUACUGACGCUCAUGCACGAAAGCGUGGGGAGCAAACAGGAUUAGAUACCCUGGUAGUCCACGCCCUGAACGAUGUCAACUAGUUGUUGGGGAUUCAUUUCCUUAGUAACGUAGCUAACGCGUGAAGUUGACCGCCUGGGGAGUACGGUCGCAAGAUUAAAACUCAAAGGAAUUGACGGGGUC